rnacentral:rRNA from 1 species
CAGCCGCCGCAGUAAUACCGGCGGCCCGAGUGGCGGUCACUAUUAUUGGGCUUAAAGCGUCCGUAGCCGGGUUGGGAAGUCCUCCGGGAAAUCUGGCCGCUUAACGGUCAGAAUGCCGGAGGAUACUCCCAGCCUAGGGAGCGGGAGAGGCCGAGGGGAUUCCCGGGGUAGGGGUGAAAUCCUAUAAUCCCGGGAGGACCACCUGGGGCGAAGGCGCUCGGCUGGAACGCGUCCGACGGUGAGGGACGAAGGCCAGGGGAGCAAACCGGAUUAGAUACCCGGGUAGUCCUGGCGGUAAACGAUGCGGACUUUGUGUCGGACAAGCUAUGAGCUUGUCCGGUGCCGGAGGGAAACCGUUAAGUCCGCCGCCUGGGGAGUACGGCCGCAAGGCUGAAACUUAAAGGAAUUGGCGGG